rnacentral:lncRNA from 1 species
AUUAAUGUAUUGAAUCUAAAAUGACCAACUAUUGAGAUUGUAAAGCUGCUGCAGAUUCACAAGAUAAUAGUGGUAACGGAAACACAAGAAGUAGAACCCCAUAAAUCGUUAAAGCAGAAGGUUUGAUACAUGAUAAAUGUCUUGGAGAAUGGUAAUGAAACUGCAAUAACCCCUUUUGGAAUUAAUUUCCAUACCAAUUACUCGUUUAGGUAGGAGUAUCAGGGUACUGCAUCAACAGAUUCUUAACCUUUUGCCUCCUUGAAAGAAGUGCGUGAUGAAUGAGAAACAAUUUACCAAUUGAAAGGCUUCAGGUUCAGCUCUAUCCUACUUGAUAAACCGAGCAACUGCACCAUUGCUCGCCAAAUAAUGCUGGUGAACAGCAGAGGAUUAUGAACACUUUCAAAGCAUCAAAUGAAUGCCCAUAUCACCAUCCCAAUUCUUCCACUGAGUUCUCACAAUUUGCUGUACUGUUACAUCUUGCAAGUUGUUCUUCUCCCACUCAGAACACAUUGUCACCUCGGCAAUUCGAUGCGUCAACACUGAAUAUCUUAAGCACAUUUCUAGCAACAGGGUAAAGAUGUCUUCAGGUCUAAUUGUAGUAUCAUUAGUUUCAUUGAUGAAUUUUGCAUGCAUCUUCGAAUCUAUUAGUUUCCCCCACAGAUACAUAAGCAAAUGAAAAUUUCUAAAUUGGGAUCCGAGUGCAGCUUCCCCCUUCAGCAUUGGCUUGUGUGAAAUGCAGUACCAAGAUGUUUAAUUUCUUGAAAUGUGUCGACAACUGACUAGCAAUCUGUUGGCUUAGGAACUGAGUCUGAAAUCAGAAACCCAACGACUUUUGAGAAUAGAUUCUCCAACAAUUUCCCAAGAAGACCAUGUCUUGACGGAGCAUUCCUGGUACAAGAGAAGCAAAUCUCUUGAAAAUAAGAUAGAAUUGAAUAAGGUAUUCACCGCAACAACAAAAAAAAGAUCAUCUGGUAAGCAAUAAAAAUGAAAGUUCUUAAGCAGAACUUAUCUUUGGCUUUGAGGAGCGGAUUCAGGAUUUCACUGAGG